rnacentral:rRNA from 1 species
GACGAACGCUGGCGGCGUGCUUAACACAUGCAAGUCGAACGGAAAGGCUCUGCUUUUGUGGGGUGCUCGAGUGGCGAACGGGUGAGUAACACGUGAGUAACCUGCCCUUGACUUUGGGAUAACUUCAGGAAACUGGGGCUAAUACCGGAUAGGAGCUCCUGCUGCAUGGUGGGGGUUGGAAAGUUUCGGCGGUUGGGGAUGGACUCGCGGCUUAUCAGCUUGUUGGUGGGGUAGUGGCUUACCAAGGCUUUGACGGGUAGCCGGCCUGAGAGGGUGACCGGCCACAUUGGGACUGAGAUACGGCCCAGACUCCUACGGGAGGCAGCAGUGGGGAAUAUUGCACAAUGGGCGGAAGCCGGAUGCAGCAACGCCGCGUGCGGGAUGACGGCCUUCGGGUUGUAAACCGCUUUCGCCUGUGACGAAGCGUGAGUGACGGUAAUGGGUAAAGAAGCACCGGCUAACUACGU